GAAGCUUAGCCGCCCAUUGACCCCUCUGGAAGCACAGCUGCACCCACAGAGGAUAUGCCUGAACAGGAACCACUAGGAAAUGGUGACAUGCAAAUGAAUCUUACUGGGCAAGGCACCGCUCCUGUGACAUUGCAAACAUCAGUGAUUGGUUCCCAGGCAAGCACCAGCUACCCAAGUGCUUCAACGAGCAGUGAUGCACAGAGAGAAAGAGCAUGGCUCCACCAA